CAUAGUGGGUUGGUGUAUUGAUGGCAAUAGCAAUAUUGUAAAUAUUUGAUGAAGAUGAAGAUGAUAAAGUAAAACACUCAUUAAAAAUCACAUUUUCGUGAAUAAUCCGAACUUUUAGAGUGAACAAGUUAAAUGAAUUUUUUUAAAAAAUAUGGGUUAGCUUUGUGUUUGACCUUUUGUUUUGAGUCAUAUUUGAAAAAAAACCUUUGAAAAUAUAUGAAAAUGUGAACUCUAUAACAAAUAAGCCCUAAUGUGUCAAUUUUAGGAAGAAAUAACUAAAUGAUACUAGUGAUUUAGCAAAUAGGAUUUGAAGAUGUCACGUAGGUCUAGAUCCUAUAAAUCAAUCUAUUCAAAUUAUUUUAGUUAUAAAAUUGUUUAAUUAUUUUAUUUAGUCGGUUGAAAUCAACACAAUAAUGAAGCAAGGUUCUCUCCAGAGUCUGACACAUAAGCUUUUUAGAUUCAUAUUAGAGUGAUAUGUCAUUAACUGAAAAAACUUGAAGAACCAAUCAAAUCAUUUUGUUUAUACACGUCAUUUGUCUUGUGCCAAACCUUUUCUUCUUCGUUUAGUUUUUUUGUCGGCCUUCUUCGUUUACCACGAAGUUAGAGAGAUAUCAUUGUUGACGAAGAACUCGAGAUCAGAUCGGAAGUAGUAGCGUCGGCGGCGGAUACGGAGAUCAUCACAGGUUAGACGAGUCGACUAGACCGAUGAUCGAUCCCACCCCUAUUCAAAGCGUUUGAGCAGAAGGAUAUGAUAUUGGGUGGCUGUGGAUGGUGUUGAUUUGAUGGAGGAGGAGUAUCAAGUCCUGAUCUGACAGAGAAUGCAGGUACGGCUCCGGUCAUCGACGCCACAAUGGUAAAUCUUCCCGGUUUGAAAAUGUCCACUUAUGCAUUCUUUUAGUAUAUGUAUGUAGUUAUGUUUUAGAUCAUUGAGAUUUUAUAUAGAUAUUGGUGGCUUUCUAUGUUGUUUUGUUUAUCUAUUUUUGGGUUCAGACAGACGACAUCUAUUUUAGAUAUUUUGGUCGGCUGAUGUUUGUAGUCUAUAUGUAUUCUUGAUUUUGAAGUUUUUGUUUGUUUUUGUUUGUUUUUUUUUGUUUUUUGUUUUUUGUUUUUUGUUUUACUUGUCAGGUACUUACAUCUUUAACCUUGGCAAUACAUGGGAGAAGCUGCAGAUGGCUGCACAAAUUAUAUUCAGUGAGCCCACGAUUAUGAUUCUUACUGAUCCACGUACCGUCCACCGGGUAAAGUCAAAUUUUGAACUGAUGAGUCUUUUUUCUUAUACGACUGAUGGUUUUGUCUUAACUUGGUUCUUGUGAGUGUCUGUGUGUUGCUGCUGUUGCAGCCCAUUAAGGAAGGUGCUUUGGGAAACAUUCAAAUCAUUGCAUUCCGUGACACAGACUCUUCCAUGAGGUUUGUUGACAUUGGUAUUCAUGCUAACAACAAGGGGAAGCAGAGCAUUGGUUGUCUUUUCUUGCUUCUUGCUCGCAUGGUCCUUCAGAUGUGUGGAACCAUUCGCCUUGCUCAUAAGUGGGAAGUCUUGGUUGACCUGCUCUUAUACAUGGAGCCCGAGGAAGCCAAGCCAGAGGAUAAGGAUGGAGUUGGGCAGACUUUGGAUUACCUGCUCCUCAAUAUGGUGGUGGAGACCAAUGGACCACUGUUGCGAUCUGAUGCUGCAUGGCCAGGAGAAGCCCAGGUGUGAAUCUCUGCUGCUCCUGCCGCUGCUUCAUGGAACGAUUCUGGUGAGUCUUAGACAUAAACAACAUCUAUUAUUAUAAAGGAGUGUUUUCUCCCUCCUGGUGAUGCCACAUCAGAUUCCACAUAGAUAAGUGGACUUCCCUCGCGUCGACACGUGUCAACUGAGACAAAGCUCUGCGUUUUAUUUAAACGCGUAGCCUGACGGGCUUCUCUGUGUAAUGCAUGUUGGGCUCUGAAUAUUGUCUCUGUGUCCGGACCGAGAAGAUGAGAUUCUUAUUCCAACCCUAAUUACCCGAUCGAAGAGUUGCAGCAACUGACGAUGAAGAUUCUUGAGGCAACCGUUACAUUGAUUCGACACCAUUGACGAACUUCUUAACUCGUUAGCUCCAUUCCAUAUAUGAUAACUCAUUCAAUGCAUCUUAACUUUAUCAAGGCUGUGGAUCUCCUGCUAUAAAAUGGUAAACCUAUAUCCCAUAAAACUCAUCCUCACAACUCCUAAAAACUUCUUUUCAAUAGAAUGACAAAUUCAUCUAUCCUAUUCUCUGAUUUGAAGGCGUUAUACGUCCACCGUCGAAGUGCGACAGCUCCGGUUUUUAUAAGCUAGAAACGUGGACGGCGCUGUGGCGAGAUGGUGGGUGUAGACAUACUCUUCCUUGACUCUAAGGUUGUUCCGUUCUAAAAAUUCAUAAUCAUCGGUUUUUAAACUCAGAACUAUCAAACGUUUAUAUUGAAAGCUAUAAUUUACGUAUUUGGGAGUUGAUUUUGAUUAUGAUUGUUUAUUUUGUUUCCAUGUUUUCAUGUCCAUAUUCCUCUGAAAUUCAUCAUUACAAACCUCUCAAUCUUUAGCUUUUAAGAGAAAUUUCAAAGGAGAAGAGACCAUAGAAGAAGUGAGAAUAAACAGAGGUGAAGAAAAAACAUAGGUCACAAAGUUGUGGUCAAGGAGUUUUGGAAAGCGAUUUCUGAACAGAACAUAAGUGUUUAGAUCUCGGAUAAUAUGCCUAUGGAAAGAUCAAGCUGCAAGGAAUCCAUAGAAACAAACCGUGUUCAAAUCAGAGGAGCACUUGAGUAUGAGAUGGGUGAUGCUCAUAUGGCUAUCCAAGCCAGAUUGAUGAACCAAGCUUUGCAUAAACUGAGCCACUCUUUGUAUAACACUUAUCAUCUUUAUAAAUCAGACAAAGCUAUUCUCUGUUCUGCAGACACUACAUGGUGUUGUCUUUGUUGCGGCCAGGUGUGGAGACCAGUUUAUCGGAGGGAAAGCUUAAGAUGCAAUGUGAGGCUGACUCAGUUAUGGCAAUCUAGGAGGCUGAGGUUCUGAUAUUAAGGCACAUGUUUUACGUUUCAUUACACCAGAGAUUUUGUUCAUGCUGAACCUAUGGAUUUGACGCUAUGUAGAAACAAUGACGCUAUGUUGUCCUCUACAUUUGAAAUUAAGGUUGGUGUAAUCAAAUGGUCCACGGAUAAACAAUACGAUCAAGACUUUUCUUACUCUGCUGAUUAAGUGUCUGCAGCAAUAUCUAAGAUAGUUUAUUCAUGUUUGAUUUGUAAUGUUGUCUUAAGGAGGGUGUACUCCUUAUUGAUGUACGAAAUCCUACUACCUUUUUGUUUGUUUCCCAAUUAUAUUGGAUAGGUUAGUUAGUGUUGAUUUACUCUCUGGCAUUUGUUGCAUGGUGAUGGAUGGUUAUGGUUACCCUACCAAAGAUGCAGAAUGCUACAAUAUUUUUGAAAAGAAUGAGCCUGAGCAGCUUUGCUUUUGGUGCCAGUACUAUUAUAUGUUUUUUAUUCUUUCAUUUGCAAGGCUAUGUGUAUCGGAAAUGACUUAUUUAAGUGACUAUCAAUUACAUGAUAUUGGUUGCUUC